rnacentral:lncRNA from 1 species
AAUUGCUCUUGCAAGCUAUAUUUGACACAUGGAUUGCUUUCAUCUUGUUAUUUUGUUUCUGUACAAAUAAUAUUUAUCCCUCAGGACAAGAAAUCAUCCAUGUGGAAUAAAGAACCCCUUCUCAAGGUAUUUAAUCAGAAGAUCUAAGAGAGACUUCAGGUGAGAAGAUGGGACUCAGACAAGGGAUUCUUCAGUUGACUGAGCACUAGGUGAGAGAAGC